GCGAAAUCGACCAAGCGGGUCUCAGCAACGAAAAAUUAAGAAGGCAAAAGAAAAGUCAGCUGAGGCGAUGUCUGGAUCAAUUUUAAAAUAUGUUGCACCUUCAACAUCUACCGCAGUAGGAGAAAGUGCUGAAGACGUUCAGUCUGUUGAAUCCAGAGGUGAAAUGCCUGAAGUAUCUUCUCAAGAAGCUUCAUAUGUGAAAGCGCAAGAAUUGGAG
rnacentral:lncRNA from 1 species